rnacentral:rRNA from 1 species
UACGGGGGGGGCAAGCGUUGUUCGGAAUUACUGGGCGUAAAGGGUUCGUAGGUGGCCAACUAAGUCAUACGUGAAAUCCCUCAGCUUAACUGGGGAACUGCGUCUGAUACUGGUUGGCUUGAGUGCAGGAGAGGAACGCGGAAUUCCAGGUGUAGCGGUGAAAUGCGUAGAUAUCGGGAGGAACACCGGUGGCGAAGGCGGCCUUCUGGUCGGAUACUGACGCUAAAACGCGAAAGCGUGGGGAGCAAACAGG